rnacentral:rRNA from 1 species
CCUACGGGCGGUAGCAGUGGGGAAUUUUGGACAAUGGGGGCAACCCUGAUCCAGCCAUGCCGCGUGCGGGAAGAAGGCCUUCGGGUUGUAAACCGCUUUUGUCAGGAGAGAAAUCUCUUGGGCUAAUACCCUGAGAGGAUGACGGUACCUGAAGAAUAAGCACCGGCUAACUACGUGCCAGCAGCCGCGGUAAUACGUAGGGUGCAAGCGUUAAUCGGAAUUAGUGCAGGUAAAUCUUCAACACAGGGGUGAAAUCCCCGGGCUUAACCUGGGAACUGCACUUGUGACUGCACGGCUAGAGUACGGCAGAGGGGGAUGGAAUUCCGCGUGUAGCAGUGAAAUGCGUAGAUAUGCGGAGGAACACCGAUGGCGAAGGCAGUCCCCUGGGCCUGUACUGACGCUCAUGCACGAAAGCGUGGGGAGCAAACAGGAUUAGAUACCCUUGUAGUC